AGCCUUCUGAAUCCGUGCCGAGGUUUCGUCAGGCAUCAGACAAUCAGGACUGAUGGGACUGCCAAAAUAAGUAGAGCG
rfam:Schistosoma margrebowiei strain Zambia genome assembly, scaffold: SMRZ_scaffold0004274